rnacentral:rRNA from 1 species
GGCCAGACUCCUACGGGAGGCAGCAGUGGGGAAUAUUGCACAAUGGGGGAAACCCUGAUGCAGCGACGCCGCGUGAGCGAUGAAGUAUUUCGGUAUGUAAAGCUCUAUCAGCAGGGAAGAAGAUGACGGUACCUGACUAAGAAGCCCCGGCUAACUACGUGCCAGCAGCCGCGGUAAUACGUAGGGGGCAAGCGUUAUCCGGAUUUACUGGGUGUAAAGGGGGCGCAGACGGCGAUGCAAGCCAGGAGUGAAAGCCCGGGGCCCAACCCCGGGACUGCUCUUGGAACUGCGUGGCUGGAGUGCAGGAGGGGCAGGCGGAAUUCCUGGUGUAGCGGUGAAAUGCGUAGAUAUCAGGAGGAACACCGGUGGCGAAGGCGGCCUGCUGGACUGCAACUGACGUUGAGGCCCGAAAGCGUGGGGAGCAAACAGGAUUAGAUCCCCUCGUA